rnacentral:rRNA from 1 species
GACAGAGGGGGCAAGCGUUGCUCGGAAUUACUGGGCGUAAAGGGCGCGUAGGCGGGAUGGCAAGUCGGUCGUGAAAUCCUUCGGCUCAACCGAAGAACGUCGAUCGAUACUGCUGUUCUUGAGGGUUGCAGAGGAGACUGGAAUUCCCGGUGUAGCGGUGAAAUGCGUAGAGAUCCGGAGGAACACCAGAGGCGAAGGCGGCCUGCUGGGCUGCACCUGACGCUGAGCCGCGAAAGCCAGGGGAGCGAACGGG